rnacentral:lncRNA from 1 species
GUUCAGUGUGUUGAAGUGAUCUUAAAGGUCAUUGUUGGUUAUAUUGAAUUAAAAUGUGUGUGCAUUGUGUUGCUAUGAAGGCGUUUGUCAAACGGGACCCAAGGGAGAAAAGGGAGAUCGUGGUCUUCCUGGGAUUCCUGCUCCACCAAGCCCAUCUAUUCCCAGGGGAGGUUGGGAGGAAUGGACCGAUCCACACAUCAAAGGUGAGAAAGGCGAUAAGGGAGAGGAAGGGUUUCCAGGGCAACCCGGAAUCCCAGGGAGACCCGGACCAGUGGGGCCUAAAGGAGAGUCUGUGCUCGGCCAUCCAGGCCCACCUGGUGUGCAGGGCUCACCUGGUGAUCCAGGUUAUGGCAGACCUGGACCUGUUGGUCCUCCUGGGCCACCAGGGCCUCCUGGACUAUCAAUAUAUGGUUCAGGUCUAGCUAUCGCUGGCCCUCCAGGACCACCGGGACCUCCUGGUAACUCAGGAGCUGUACGUAUUUUUAUUUUUGUUGUAAAUUAUAGAUUUCAAAAAACCAAUCGGUGCUAGCUUUUUGCAACACGUUCCACUCUUUGUUU